AAAGACUCUAAAGAAGGCCGAUGAACAAAAGGUGCGUAACCCAUAGACUAAAUGCAGAGGCAUAAGAACAAACAAGUGGUGUGCCAAUAUGCCAACUAGGCAAAACCAAAUGCAAAGCUAAAUAAACUGCAAACACCAACAGAGAAGUUUUCAAGAAAACCUUUACAGACCCUUUAUAAUUACAUGGAAAAACCUCAGCUCUAGGGAAGAAAAACCAUUUAACUCAAACUAUCAAAGAGCUGGCGAUCAUUUGAGAUUUGCUUAGCCAAUUAUUCUAUAAUAACCCCAUUAUCUUCAUUGAAGGUUAAGCCAAGGUCCUUGCCAAGUUGCAAAGUGAGGGUAGCUUCCUUGUGAGGCGAAAAUGGUGGUACUGCUAGCUUGCAAUGGUGCUUUUGAUUCAUUCUUGAUAUUUCACUAUCUGUAGCACAAAUAGGUUCAUUAAAAGCUUUGGCUCUGCAAUUGGCCUUCUUUCUCGAUUCUAAUUUCAGGUACAAGCCCCAAAGAUCCACGAUAGGUCUAGAUUUUUUCUUGUUCUUAAUCACCCUAUUAAUCUUCAAUUGGGAUAGGGGAAUAUCCAUAUCAGAGCUGUCAUUUGAAAAGGGAUCAAUGGCAUAAUCCUUACGAGACACAUUAUUUCUGGGGAUAGUACAUUCAUACUCUGCCAGGUUAAUAGGUGAAGGUGGCUCUUCCAAAGGUUGGCUUAAAGAGAUACAUGGGUCUAGCGUGGCUACCUUAACUAGCAAGGGUCUCGAGUUUGCUGUAGAAUCUCCAUUAAAAGGGUUGGCUGGCUAGCCGAAUCAUUAUUUCUGCCGAAUAAAUUUUCAUGCAGAGGGUUGGAAUUCUCCAUAAGGUGAGGAAAGGCACCUGUGUCAGCAAAGCCGCGUGUAGCACUGUGAUUGCCGCGACCUUUUGAGUGGUAGGAUCAAAAUCAUUGUUCUCCUUGCUCGAGGUGGAGGCAGUGUCAUCUUGGAACUUAACACAGCAUGGCAGACAACACAAUUCCUCUGUUUUCUCCAUGCAUAGGUGUGAUGGCAGUGGAGAGAAUUUCUGCAUCACCAGGAGACACAACCUCUGGGGAGGCUCUAAGGAUGUGAUUGGUGCUAUUAGACAUGUCUAGAUCACUAGACGACCUCUGCUCUACUGAGUUUAGAAGAGAACUACCCUUAGUUUGGGGAGAAGAUAGAAACACACUUGAUGGUUCUUCAAUGGCCACUAUA
rnacentral:misc_RNA from 1 species